CAAAAAGACGUGUCGAGCCACACGACCGAAACUAAGGCACUAGGUGGGAGGCAACCCACACUUUCUAUGUAUUUUGUUGUUUUUGAUGAGAUUGCAGGAAUGAGGUAAAUUGUGGUAUGGGAAAGAAAUUAAAGUGAGUAAAAUAUGUUUUCGGGAGGCUAUCAGGUAUGAAAUGCUAUUUGAUGCAACAAAAAAUACAAGGAAGUAAAGGGGGAACCAGAAUUUCCCCAAGAUGGCAUAACAGUGGGCCUCUGGGUUAUUAGCAUGCCACAUCACUUAUCCUCCCUGAUAAGGUCAUGGUAUGCCAAGAAGAAAAUAUCGCGGAGGUGAUUCCAGUAAGCCUUCGUGAUUUCGACGUGCCACUCCCUUUAUCCUCUGUGAUAAGAUCGUGGCAUGGAGGAUGUCAAUUUUUAAAUUUUUUAAAAUAAAAAGUCGGGUUUUACUCGGCUUUUCCCCUCUUAACCCAAAUUCUCCCCUUUUAUACUCCAAAAAUCCCCAAAUCCCCUCUUUUUCCACAACCUAGCAUACCAUCCUUCCUAAUUCUCCCCAUCCUAAAGCGUGUCACGUAAAGGAAUUUUUCUCGCUCCUCUCUGCGACCUCAAAUUGGGUAUUAUGGCAAGUAGAGCUCAAAAAGGGAAAGAUCUUGCUGGGCCUUCUGAGCCAUCAAAAAAGAGGUUUCGUCUAACAGGUUGGGUACCUAGAGCCCCUAUUAUUGCAGGAGGCCAGACACGUUGGUAUGAAAUUAGGUGGAUUGAAGAAGCGGGGAAGGAAGGGCAUAACAAGUAUACUAAGUCUAAGUAUGCCUCGGACGAGUUUAUUGAUCGUUGCAUAAAGAAUUCUCGAGCAUGGUGCAGAAACUUAAGGAGCUGCAUAUGAACUUUAUUUUUAAGCAACCUACUAAAUGCAAUUUGAACUUAAUUAGGGAGUUCUAUGCCAACUGGGAUCCAAUAGAUCCUGUGCUACGGGAAUAAUCACGAAUAUGGACUUAUGGGAGUGCAUGUUGGGUUCGAGACUUAGUGUGUACAAUUGAAGUGCAAAAAGGGACCUAAAUGCACUAAAAUCAGCCAACAUAUUACACUUGAUGGGCACCUAAGUCUUUAAGGGGCCUUUUGGUCCUUUUUGUCUUUUAUUUGUAAUAGGAUAUAAAUAGAACCAUGUAGGGUUUCUUUGAUUAGUUUUUAAUGAUAUUUAUAAGUCUUGAAAUACCAAAGAACACAAGUCCUCUCUUCUUGAGGCACCAAAAAAGAAACGAGGAUACAACAAUAGGGUGGAUUUUCUUUUGUUGUUGCUUGCUUGGAAACGUUGAUGAUAGAGAGGUGCAAUCCAAUCUUGUGUCACGUAAGAGAUAGGUUUAUUAUUGUAUGUAGUGUUAAGGGUCCAAGAGUGUCCAUUCUUGGGUUCUUAAGAUUAUACCCUCAUGUGGUCUAUCUAUUUAUCCCUUUACUUUAUUGUAAUUUUAUUUUGUUCCUUUUGUUUUAGUGUAAGUUGAGUGGGUAUUUUUGUUGUUGUUGUUGUUCAACUCAUUAUUGUUUCCAUCUUGUAAUCUUCUUGUUAGUUUGUUGUUCGCUGAAAAAUAGGUGUCAAUCCACCUCAAUAUAGUGUUGUUAUUGUGCCA